UAGCGGAUGACGGGAGCUUGCUCCUUGAUUCAGCGGCGGACGGGUGAGUAAUGCCUAGGAAUCUGCCUGGUAGUGGGGGACAACGUUUCGAAAGGAACGCUAAUACCGCAUACGUCCUACGGGAGAAAGCAGGGGACCUUCGGGCCUUGCGCUAUCAGAUGAGCCUAGGUCGGAUUAGCUAGUUGGUGGGGUAAUGGCUCACCAAGGCGACGAUCCGUAACUGGUCUGAGAGGAUGAUCAGUCACACUGGAACUGAGACACGGUCCAGACUCCUACGGGAGGCAGCAGUGGGGAAUAUUGGACAAUGGGCGAAAGCCUGAUCCAGCCAUGCCGCGUGUGUGAAGAAGGUCUUCGGAUUGUAAAGCACUUUAAGUUGGGAGGAAGGGCAGUAAGCUAAUACCUUGCUGUUUUGACGUUACCGACAGAAUAAGCACCGGCUAACUCUGUGCCAGCAGCCGCGGUAAUACAGAGGGUGCAAGCGUUAAUCGGAAUUACUGGGCGUAAAGCGCGCGUAGGUGGUUUGUUAAGUUGGAUGUGAAAGCCCCGGGCUCAACCUGGGAACUGCAUCCAAAACUGGCAAGCUAGAGUACGGUAGAGGGUGGUGGAAUUUCCUGUGUAGCGGUGAAAUGCGUAGAUAUAGGAAGGAACACCAGUGGCGAAGGCGACCACCUGGACUGAUACUGACACUGAGGUGCGAAAGCGUGGGGAGCAAACAGGAUUAGAUACCCUGGUAGUCCACGCCGUAACGAUGUCAACUAGCCGUUGGAAUCCUUGAGAUUUUAGUGGCGCAGCUAACGCAUUAGUUGACCGCCUGGGGAGUACGGCCGCAAGGUUAAACUCAAAUGAAUUGACGGGGGUCCGCACAAGCCGGUGGAGCAUGGUGAUUUAAUU
rnacentral:rRNA from 1 species